rnacentral:rRNA from 1 species
UACAGAGGGUGCAAGCGUUAAUCGGAGUUACUGGGCGUAAAGGGCGCGUAGGCGGUCAUAUAAGUUGGAUGUGAAAUCCCUGGGCUUAACCUAGGAACUGCAUUCAGUACUGUGUGACUGGAGUAUUGUAGAGGGUAGUGGAAUUUCCGGUGUAGCGGUGAAAUGCGUAGAUAUCGGGAGGAACACCAGUGGCGAAGGCGGCUACCUGGUCUUGCACUGACGCUGAGGCACGAAAGCUGGGGGAGCAAACGGG